rnacentral:miRNA from 1 species
GGUUCGCCGUGCCGCCGCGC